rnacentral:rRNA from 1 species
UACGGAGGGUGCAAGCGUUAAUCGGAAUUACUGGGCGUAAAGCGCGCGUAGGUGGUUCGUUAAGUCAGAUGUGAAAGCCCCGGGCUCAACCUGGGAACGGCACCUGAUACUGGCGAGCUAGAGUACGGUAGAGGGGAGUGGAAUUUCCUGUGUAGCGGUGAAAUGCGUAGAUAUAGGAAGGAACACCAGUGGCGAAGGCGACUCCCUGGACUGAUACUGACACUGAGGUGCGAAAGCGUGGGGAGCAAACAGG